rnacentral:misc_RNA from 1 species
GAUGAGAACGUAGCGAAAUGCGAUAAGUAAUGUGAAUUGCAGAAUUCCGUGAAUCAUCGAAUCUUUGAACGCACAUUGCGCCCUCUGGUAUUCCGGGGGGCAUGCCUGUCCGAGCGUCAUUUGCAACCCUCAAGCCCGGCUUGUGUGAUGGGUGCCGUCCCCUACGGGACGCGCCCCGAAGGCAAUGGCGGCGUCGCGGUUAUCCGAUCAGCCAAAGUGUAUGGGGCUUUGUCACUCACUUUACGGCCCGGACCGGCGCCAGUCCGAAUCAAUCUUUUUUCUAAAGUUGACCUCGGAUCAGGUAGGGAUACCCGCUGAACUUAAGCAUAUCAAUAAGCGGAGGA